UACGUAGGGUGCGAAGCGUUGUCCGGAAUUAUUGGGCGUAAAGAGCUCGUAGGCGGUUUGUCGCGUCUGCUGUGAAAAACUCAGGGCUUAACCCUGAGCCUGCAGUGGGUACGGGCAGACUAGAGUGUGGUAGGGGAGAUCGGAAUUCCUGGUGUGACGGUGGAAUGCGCAGAUAUCAGGAGGAACACCGGUGGCGAAGGCGGAUCUCUGGGCCAUAACUGACGCUGAGGAGCGAAAAGCAUGGGGAGCGAACAGGA
rnacentral:rRNA from 1 species